rnacentral:rRNA from 1 species
UACGAAGGGGGCAAGCGCUGUUCGGAAUUACUGGGCGUAAAGGGCGCGUAGGCGGCUUACCAAGUCAGGCGUGAAAUUCCCGGGCUCAACCUGGGGGCUGCGCUUGAUACUGGUGAGCUUGAAUGCGGGAGAGGAUAGUGGAAUUCCCAGUGUAGAGGUGAAAUUCGUAGAUAUUGGGAAGAACACCAGUGGCGAAGGCGGCUAUCUGGCCCGUGAUUGACGCUGAGGCGCGAAAGCGUGGGGAGCAAACAGG